rnacentral:rRNA from 1 species
UACGUAGGUGGCAAGCGUUAUCCGGAUUUACUGGGUGUAAAGGGGGCGCAGACGGCAGCGCAAGCCAGGAGUGAAAGCCCGGGGCCCAACCCCGGGACUGCUCUUGGAACUGCGCGGCUGGAGUGCAGGAGGGGCAGGCGGAAUUCCUGGUGUAGCGGUGAAAUGCGUAGAUAUUAGGAGGAACACCAGUGGCGAAGGCGGCCUGCUGGGCUUUAACUGACGCUGAGGCUCGAAAGCGUGGGGAGCAAACAGG